GUAGUCGGUAGUGCAACGGUUAACAUACGCUCCCGGAAAGAGUGAAAUCUGGGUUCGAAUCCUGGCCGACGCA